GUAAGAAGAGAGCUCUGGGUGAAGAUGUGGAGAACAAGGACAUGGGAGGGGGCAUACCAAAAUACGUGAACUUGAUUCUGAGAGCUCUGUGAAACUAAAGGAGAUAGUGGCAGUGACAUGCCUGGAUUGCAUUUUACAACGUGGGCAGGACUGACAGAAAGGAGGCACUAGGUCCCUUCCAUGGAGCAGACAAUCUUGGAUUCAAUGGACCAAGGCUCAUUUCCAUCUUUUCUCCCACUUGUUCAAACACCACUGUUAGAUGGAAUGCCACUAAAUUGAGACAUCAGCCAUGACAAACAGAGGAUGCAGAGACUUGAAGAGUCCAAUGCCCUACUACAAUGGGAGAAAAGUAGCCCCACUCACUUUGAGGCUCAGAGAUAUUCACGGAAGAGGCGGGUGGAAAGUUUUGUAAGAGCCAGAGAAGGGAUGGAGUAUGACCUGGAUGUUCCUCUGACCCUGUGAUGAUGAGCCAUGGACCCACCUCCUUCCCACACUCUGAAAAGAAGCCACUUCCUUUCCCUCUUCCAGCCAAUCAGUUGACCGUAGUCACUUGUAGGAGAGGGGCUAAGGGUAAAAAAGCUGGGAAAACCAUGAGGCUGACCUCUUGCCAUUUUUAUGAGGUUGUCCGGAAUCACAGGAUUUAUGUCUAGGUGUGGACUUUCAAACACAGCUAUGAAUGGGAGCGGGGGGGGCACCCCAAGCUCAGUUAACAAGUCCAAUAAACUCCUUAAAAUUCUUCAAACCAAGGUUUGAAUAAUUCUUUUCUCAGGUUGUCGCAAGGACCAUGGGAGGAGGGGAUUGGAUGCCAUAUGCGCCUCCCAGCAGUACA